rnacentral:rRNA from 1 species
AACGAACGCUGGCGGCAUGCCUAACACAUGCAAGUCGAACGAGACCUUCGGGUCUAGUGGCGCACGGGUGCGUAACGCGUGGGAACCUGCCCUUAGGUUCGGAAUAACUCCCCGAAAGGGGUGCUAAUACCGGACAAUGUCUUCGGACCAAAGAUUUAUCGCCUUGGGAUGGGCCCGCGUUGGAUUAGCUGGUUGGUAGGGUAAAAGCCUACCAAGGCGACGAUCCAUAGCUGGUCUGAGAGGAUGAUCAGCCACACUGGGACUGAGACACGGCCCAGACUCCUACGGGAGGCAGCAGUGGGGAAUAUUGGAACAUGGGCGAAAGCCUGAUGCAGCAAUGCCGCGUGAGUGAUGAAGGCAUUAGGGUUGUAAAGCUCUUUUACCCGGGAUGAUAAUGACAGUACCGGGAGAAUAAGCUCCGGCUAACUCCGUG